rnacentral:rRNA from 1 species
UACGGGGGCAGCAGUGGGGAAUAUUGCACAAUGGGGGAAACCCUGAUGCAGCGACGCCGCGUGAGUGAAGAAGUACUUCGGUACGUAAAGCUCUAUCAGCAGGGAAGAAGAUGACGGUACCUGACUAAGAAGCCCCGGCUAACUACGUGCCAGCAGCCGCGGUAAU